UGCUGCGGCCCCUCGUGGGCGUUUCCUCCCUAGACUUCGGACCGCCUCUUUCAGGGACGGUCCUUUUUUUCGGGUCGG
rnacentral:sRNA from 1 species